GACAAACGCUGGCGGCGUGCCUAAUACAUGCAAGUCGAACGGGGAAAGCUUUCGGGUGAGUACUAGUGGCGCACGGGUGAGUAACGCGUGGAUAAUCUGCCUUAGAGUGGGGGAUAACUAGUCGAAAGAUUAGCUAAUACCGCAUAAGACCACAAGAACUGCGGUUCAAGGGGUCAAAGGUUUUUCGCUCUAAGAUGAGUCCGCGUAAGAUUAGCUAGUUGGUAGGGUAACGGCCUACCAAGGCGACGAUCUUUAACUGGUCUGAGAGGAUGAUCAGUCACACUGGAACUGAGACACGGUCCAGACUCCUACGGGAGGCGGCAGUAGGGAAUAUUGCACAAUGGAGGAAACUCUGAUGCAGCGACGCCGCGUGAGUGAUGAAGGCCUUCGGGUCGUAAAGCUCUGUCGCAGGGGAAUAACACAAUGAAGGUACCCUGUAAGAAAGGAUCGGCUAACUUCGUGCCAGCCGCCGCGGUAAUAC
rnacentral:rRNA from 1 species